rnacentral:rRNA from 1 species
CACGGCCCAAACUCCUACGGGAGGCAGCAGUAGGGAAUUUUCGGCAAUGGAGGAAACUCUGACCGAGCAACGCCGCGUGAACGAUGAAGUAUUUCGGUAUGUAAAGUUCUUUUAUUGAAGAAGAAAAAAUAGUGGAAAAACUAUCUUGACGUUAUUCAAUGAAUAAGCCCCGGCUAACUAUGUGCCAGCAGCCGCGGUAAGACAUAGGGGGCGAGCGUUAUCCGGAAUUAUUGGGCGUAAAGGGUGCGUAGGCGGUUAGGAAAGUCUAUAAUUUAAUUUCAGUGCUUAACGCUGUCUUGUUAUAGAAACUACCUUGACUAGAGUUAGAUAGAGGCAAGCGGAAUUCCAUGUGUAGCGGUAAAAUGUGUAAAUAUAUGGAGGAACACCAGAAGCGUAGGCGGCUUGCUGGGUCUUGACUGACGCUGAGGCACGAAAGCGUGGGUAGCAAACAGGAUUAGAUACCCUGGUAGUCCACGCCGUAAACGAUGAGUACUAAGUGUCGGGAUAAAACUCGGUACUGAAGUUAACACAUUAAGUACUCCGCCUGAGUAGUACGUACGCAAGUAUGAAACUUAAAGGAAUUGACGGGACUCCGCACAAGCGGUGGAUCAUGUUGUUUAAUUCGAAGAUACACGAAAAAUCUUACCAGGUCUUGACAUGCUCUGCAAAGCUAUAGAAAUAUAGUGGAGGUUAUCAGGGACACAGGUGGUGCAUGGUUGUCGUCAGUUCGUGUCGUGAGAUGUUAGGUUAAGUCCUAAAACGAGCGCAACCCUUGUCGUUAGUUACCAGCACGUAAUGGUGGGCACUUUAACGAGACUGCCAAUUAAACAUUGGAGGAAGGUGAGGAUUACGUCAAAUCAUCAUGCCCC